GAAGAAAAAGCGGUGAAAUUGGGUGAGAUUUUCUUUUUCAAGUGAGAAAGGUCUACUCUGCAAAACAUGCAGCGAUGCCAAAGUAGCAAGUGAGUUUUCAGAGGGAAAAAUGUGGACUGAAUGGAAGCUGGACUAUCUCAAGCGUCACGUUCAGCAUAAAAGUCAUUUAAAAGCUGUCGAAACUGUACGAAGACUCAAGAUGGGACAGGGGAUUGGUACAUUAUUGCGGGAGAGCGCAAAAGAGCGAGAGAAAAGGAACGAGCUGUCAAUCAAAACAAAAUCCAGAAAUCGUCUUGAAGUGACACAUUUGGACCAGCUGAUGCGCAUAAAGUCAAAGCAAGAAGCAGACGAAGCCAUCAACCUGGACAAAGUGUACAACCAUUGGAGAAGUGAGAAGGACAGACGUGAAAAAUAAGAACAGGACCCUCAGCCAGGCAAAGCAGGACUCUUCCCAUGGCCAAAGCAGGACUCUCACAUACUGUAUAACAUCUACACAUCCCAUUUUUCAGAUUUUUGUCUUUUUUUAAGUGGACCAAAUUACUUAUUUAAAAAUAAAGCGUGCAUAUCUAAUGUUG